rnacentral:rRNA from 1 species
AUUGAACGCUGGCGGCAGGCCUAACACAUGCAAGUCGAGCGAGAGGCGGACGGGUGAGUAAUGUAUGGGGACUGCCCGAUAGAGGGGGAUAACUAAUGGAAACGGUGGCUAAAACCGCAUACUAUCGGAUAACCCAUAUGGGAGUAGCUAGUAGGUGGGGUAAAGGCUCACCUAGGCGACGAUCUCUAGCUGUGCUGAGAGGAUGAUCGGCCACACGGGGACUGAGACACUGCCCAGACUCCUACGGAUGCAGCAGUGGGUAUUAUUGCACAAUGGGCGAAAGCCUGAUGAAGCCAUGCCGCUUGUAUGAAGAAGGCCUUAGGUUUGUAAAGUACUUUCAGCGGGGAGGCGUUACCCGCAGAAUAAGCACCGGCCAACUCCGUGCCAGCAGCCGCGGUAAUUC